UACGGGGGGGGCAAGCGUUGUUCGGAAUUACUGGGCGUAAAGGGCGCGUAGGCGGUUUGUUAAGUUGAAUGUGAAAACUCUGGGCUUAACCCAGAGCCUGCAUUCAAUACUGGCAGGCUAGAGUUCUGGAGGGGAUAGCGGAAUUCCUGGUGUAGCGGUGAAAUGCGUAGAUAUCAGGAGGAACACCGGUGGCGAAGGCGGCUAUCUGGACAGAGUCUGACGCUGAGGCGCGAAAGCUAGGGGGAGCAAACAGG
rnacentral:rRNA from 1 species